GACGAACGCUGGCGGCGUGGAUUAGGCAUGCAAGUCGAACGGUAUCAUCCUUUCGGGGGUGAGAGAGUGGCGAACUGGUGAGUAACACGUAGGUUAUCUACCCUCAAGACGGGGACAACCCAGGGAAACUUGGGCUAAUACCGGAUGUGAGCAACUUUUAGUUGUUUGAAAGGUGGCGUAAGCUGUCGCUUGGGGAUGAGCCUGCGUCCUAUUAGUUAGUUGGUGAGGUAACGGCUCACCUAGGCAAUGAUAGGUAGGCGGCCUUAACGGGUGGUCGCCCACACUGGGAUUGAGAUACGGCCCAGACUCCUACGGGAGGCAGCAGUCGAGAAUAGUCUACAAUGGUCGGAAGACUGAUAGUGCGACGCCGCGUGAACGAUGAAUCCCUUCGGGGUGUAAAGUUCUUUUAUAUGUGAGCAGUGCUUCUUAUAUUAACAGUAUGGGGAGAGAGAUAUUAGCAUAUGAAUAAGCAACGGCUAACUCCGUGCCAGCAGCCGCGGUAAAUCGUAC
rnacentral:rRNA from 1 species